CCUACGGGUGGCAGCAGUGGGGAAUAUUGCGCAAUGGGCGAAAGCCUGACGCAGCGACGCCGCGUGAGGGAUGAAGGUCUUCGGAUUGUAAACCUCUGUCCUCUGUGAAGAUAAUGACGGUAGCAGAGGAGGAAGCUCCGGCUAAAUACGUGCCAGCAGCCGCGGUAAUACGUAGGGAGCAAGCGUUGUCCGGAUUUACUGGGUGUAAAGGGUGCGUAGGCGGCUUUGCAAGUCAGAAGUGAAAUCCAUGGGCUUAACCCAUGAACUGCUUUUGAAACUGCAGAGCUUGAGUGGAGUAGAGGUAGGCGGAAUGCCCGGUGUAGCGGUGAAAUGCGUAGAGAUCGGGAGGAACACCAGUGGCGAAGGCGGCCUGCUGGGCUCUAACUGACGCUGAGGCACGAAAGCGUGGGUAGCAAACAGGAUUAGAUACCCCUGUAGUC
rnacentral:rRNA from 1 species